rnacentral:rRNA from 1 species
AAAGUUUGAUCCUGGCUCAGGAUGAACKCSGGCGGGWUGCCUAACWAAUGCAWGUCSUACRAGAGUUUUUAACUCUWKUGGCGGACGGKKGASUAACACGUGAGAAUKUGCCUUUWGGAGGGGGAUAACRRUCGGAAACGAAUGCUAWUACCCCAUAUGCUUUUAAGUGAAACGGAUUUAUCCGCCUAAAGAGAAGCUCGCGGCUGAUUAGCUUGUUGGYAAGGUAAGAGCUUACCRAGGCGACGAUCAKYAUSKGGUUWGAGAGGACGAUCASACACACUGGAACUGAGACACGGUCCAGACUCCUACGGGAGGCAGCAGUGGGGAAUUUUCCGCAAUGGGCGAAAGCCUGACGGAGCAAUACCGCGUGAGGGAAGACUGCCUAUGGGUUGUAAACCUCUUUUUUMAGGGAGGAAUAAAAUGACGUGUACCUGAAGAAUAAGCAUCGGCUAACUCCGUGCCAGCAGCCGCGGUAAGACGGAGGAUGCAAGUGUUAUCCGGAAUCACUGGGCGUAAAGCGUCUGUAGGUGGUUUAAUAAGUCRACUGUUAAAUCUUGAGGCUCAACUUCAAAAUCGCRSWCGAAACUUUUAGACUAGAGUAUAGUAGGGGUAAAGGGAAUUUCCAGUGGAGCGGUGAAAUGCGUAGAUAUUGGAAAGAACACCGAUGGCGAAAGCACUUUACUGGGCUAUUACUAACACUCAGAGACGAAAGCUAGGGUAGCAAAUGGGAUUAGAUACCCCAGUAGUCCUAGCCGUAAACUAUGGAUACUAGAUGUUGAGCAGAUCGACCUGUGCAGUAUCAAAGCUAACGCGUUAAGUAUCCCGCCUGGGAAGUAUGCUCGCAAGAGUGAAACUCAAAGGAGUUGACGGGGGCCCGCACAAGCGGUGGAGCAUGUGGUUUAAUUCGAUGCAACGCGAGAACCUUACCAGGUUUGACAUGAUACGAUUUCUUUGAAAGGAGAAGUGCCGUUGACGUAUACMCAGUGUGCAUGCUGUCGUCAGCUCGUGUCUGRAAUGUUGGUAGUCCSCACGRCGCACCCUGUUUUAGUGCUUUAUGAACUCUAAAGACUGCUGUUAUAUCGGAGAGUGGUAUGACUCAGUCACMKGCCCUACCUGGCUACMMCCKGUCUCAMUUUGGGSGRAACAGUGAAAKC